ACAGCGCCCGGCCUCUUAUUUUGUUUCUUGUAUAUCUCUUCCAACUAGAAUAAAAGAACAGUGCACUGCUUUAUCCCCAGCCCCUAGAUCAAUCGAUACAUGGCACAUAAAUGAAACUUUAUUUAUUGAAAGAAUAAAUGAAAUGUCUCAUAAUGUAAGAAAAUAGAUGCUGUUUAAAGGCUUGAGCAUUUUCCUUGUAAACAAGUGUCUCAAAUUAAGUAUGCUGCCAGUAAUGGAGUCCGGAUGAUGACUUUUGAUAGUGAAGUUGAGUUGAUGAAAGUUGCCAGAGCACAUCACAAGGCAAAGUUGGUUUUGCAGAUUGCCACUGAUGAUUCCAAAGCAGCCUGUUGACUCAGUGUUAAAUUUGGUGCCACACUGAAAACCAGCAGGCUUCUUUUGGAAUGGGCAAAAGAGCUCAAUAUUGAUGUCAUCAUUGUCAGCUUCCACGUAGGAAGUGGCUGUACUGAUCCUGAGACCUUCGUGCAGGCAAUCUCUGAUGCCCGCUGUGUCUUUGACAUGGAAGCUGAGGUUAGUUUUAGCAUGUAUCUGCUUGAUACUGGUGGUGGCUUUCCUGGAUCUGAGGAUGUGAAGCUUAAAUUUGAAGAGAUCACCAGUGUAAUCAACCCAGCAUUGGACAAGUAUUUUCCAUCAGACUACUCUGGAGUGAGAAUCAUAGCUGAGCCAGGCAGAUAUUAUGUUGCAUUAGCUUUCACGCUCGCAGUUAAUAUCAUUGCCAAAAAAAUUGUAUUAAAAGAACAGAUAGGCUCUGAUGAUGAAGAUGAUGAGUCCAAUGAACAAACCUUUAUGUAUUACAUGAAUGAUGGAGUAUAUGGAUCAUUUAAUUGCAUCCUUUAUGAUCACGUGCACAUAAACCCCUUCUGCAAAAGAGACCUAAACCAGAUGAAAAGUAUUAUUCAUCCAGCAUAUGGGGACCAACAUGUGAUGGCCUUGACCAGAUUGUUGAGUGCUGUGACCUGCCUGAAAUGCACAUAGGUGACUGGAUGCUCUUUGAAAACAUGGGUGCUUACACUGUAGCUGCUGCUUCUACUUUCAAUGGAUUCUAGAGGCCUACUAUCUACUAUGUGAUGUCAGAACCGACAUGGCAACUCAUGCAGCAAAUCCAGAACCCCGACUUCACACCCAAAGUAGAAGAGCAGUAGUCGGUACUCUGCCUGUGUCUUGUGCUUGGGAAAGUGGAAUGAAAUGUCACCCAGCAACUUAUGCUUCAGCUAGUAUUAAUGUGUAGAUACCAUUCUUGUAGCUGUUAACUGCGAGUUUAGCUUGAAUUAAGGGAUUUGGGGGGACCAUUUAACUUAAUGACUGCUAGUUUUGACAUGUCUUGUAAGAGUAGGGUUGCACAUAUGCAGCAACAUGGAAGACUAGAAGAUGGGGUCACACUUAUCUUUGUUCUUAUGGAAACUAUUUGAAUAUUUGUUUUAUAUGGAUUUUUAUUCACUUUUCAGACAUGCUACAAAAGAGUGCCCUCAGCUGCUGAGCAAGCAUUUGUAGCUUGUACAAUGGCUGAAUGGGCCAAAAGCUUAGUGUUGUGACCUGUUUUAAAAAUAAAGUAUCUUAAAAUAAAUAAAUAAAUAAAUAAAUAUUAAAAAAUAAAGGCUUGAGCAUUUUAUAGUUUAUAAAUGCAUGAACUCUAUAGUUUAUGGACUCUGUAGCUUGGGGUUGUUUUGUGUCCUUUUGUACAUAUUCCCAUAAGCUGUGUUCUAAAGAUAGGUGGCUGCUAUAAUUAAACUGCUGCAAUUUUUCUUAUAAGGUAAAAAUUCACCUUAAAAAAACUUAGAAUAGUAGUUUAUGGAUUGCAAUGGAUGUAAAUUAUUCUCAUAUUUUUAUAAGAUAAGCAGUAAUAUUAUUUCCAUCUUACAGAUAGAAGGAAGCUUAUUUAGGUAAGCAUGAGUUCACAGAACUAACAAGUAGCAAAGAAAGGGAAAAAGUCUUCUUUCAGCGUUUAAGUAUAAAUCUUUGUUGACCAUUGUAUGUAAUUCUUUUUAGAGUAAAGAAUAAGAUAACACUUAUAAAAACAUUUGAAUAAGAUAACAUUUAUAAAAAGUUCAAAACAGAUAAAUCUAAUCUUUUAUGUUAAAAAUAAGGUUACUUUUGGGAGGAUAGUAACUGGGAGAGGUGGGAAGGGUUUCUUAUGUUGUGCUUAGUAAUAUUUUUGUUUGUUUGUUUUAGACAACUGAAGUCAUGUGUCAAUUAGUAAUGUUUCUUGAACUAUGUAUAGUUAUACAUAGAUAGACUUAAAGAUUCAUCAGGCUGCUGAAUUUACUUUUGCUUAUAAUUUUACAUUUUUCUAUGUGUCUUAUACUUCCACAAAAAAAUUG